rnacentral:lncRNA from 1 species
UCGAACACCCCUGAGAUUUUUCUGAAUGAUUCUUCCUCCCGUAUCACUGAAGCUGUUGCUAUUUUUCUGCUUGAGAUUCUCAAAUUAACUUCCAAGUUAUAACCCGUUGUGUUUAUUGUUAGUAAUCCCAGCUGUAUUUAUGCCAAUAAAGGUUUGGAGAAAGAAAGAAAAAGCUGGGUAGACUUAACCCUUGGAACCCCCUGCCACAAGAGGGCUCCAGAAAGGGGACGGGGUGCAUUCCCAGCUGUGGAUCACCUCGAGGGUCAGCGGGCCCCAGCGGGGUGUGUGUGUGUGUGUGUGUUUAUCUCUCUCUUGACUCGUGUCACUGGGAGGGUGUCAGGAUCUGGCCUGUCGCCCCCCACUCCAGUGGGACCCCCAGCGCCCCCAGUGCUGCUGCUGCUGCUGCUGCUGCCCCCACGGCCGCUGGCUUUUUGCCCCACAUCUGGACGGCUGCCAGGAUCCCCGUUGCUCAGGUAGACAGAAAGGUGGAGAUUUUUUGGGGGGGGUUGUCUGUGGGAGAAGCCCAGUGAUGGGGGGGGAGAGGGGGAGGCUGGUUGAUCUCCUCCGAGGAAGGAG